AGACUGCAGAGGCAGUUGAAGUAGCAAAAACGAAGGUGGAGUUUGUUGCAGAUACAUCAGAUGCAUUUGAAGAGGAGGAGACAGCAUCUGAGAAAAUGGGUAUCGGUAUAUAAUAUUAUGAUACUGUACUCUAUAUUAAAUACUGUACUU